AAUAAGUGCAAUAAUAAGUUUUCGUGUACAACUUUAAUCGUCUGUCUUAUUUAAAAUUUUUUUUAUGAUUAGUAAGUAUUUUUUAGAUAUUAGAUUAUAAAACGUGAAUAGAAAUUUAUGUGUGAUUUAUGUUUUUUUAUAUUUUUUCAAAAAAGAUUAAAUAAGUUGGAAGAUUAAAGUUGUGUACGGAAAUUCAUGGCCAUGUUUAUU
rfam:Oryza rufipogon genomic scaffold, chr11